rnacentral:rRNA from 1 species
CCUACGGGAGGCAGCAGUGGGGAAUGUUGGACAAUGGGGGGAACCCUGAUCCAGCAAUGCCGCGUGUGUGAAGAAGGCCUUCGGGUUGUAAAGCACUUUCAGUAGGGAGGAAAGGUGCGUAGUUAAUACCUGCGCAAUUGACGUUACAUACAGAAGAAGCACCGGCUAACUCCGUGCCAGCAGCCGCGGUAAUACGGAGGGUGCGAGCGUUAGUCGGAAUUACUGGGCGUAAAGCGCACGCAGGAGGUUGCCCAAGUCAGAUGUGAAAGCCCCGGGGUUAACCUGGGAACUGCAUUUGAAACUGGGCGACGAGAGGAUGAAAGAGGAAAGCGGAAUGUCCAGUGUAGCAGUGAAAUGCGUAGAUAUUGGAAGGAACACCGAUGGCGAAGGCAGCUUUCUGGGUCGAUACUGACGCUCAUGUGCGAAAGCGUGGGGAGCAAACAGGAGUAGAUACCCGAGUAGUC